rnacentral:rRNA from 1 species
GGGCUAGGCGGCGGCCUACCAUGGCAGUCGAACGGUAGCACAGAGAGCUUGCUCUCGGGUGACGAGUGGCGGACGGGUGAGUAAUGUCUGGGAAACUGCCUGAUGGAGGGGGAUAACUACUGGAAACGGUAGCUAAUACCGCAUAACGUCGCAAGACCAAAGAGGGGGACCUUCGGGCCUCUUGCCAUCAGAUGUGCCCAGAUGGGAUUAGCUAGUAGGUGGGGUAACGGCUCACCUAGGCGACGAUCCCUAGCUGGUCUGAGAGGAUGACCAGCCACACUGGAACUGAGACACGGUCCAGACUCCUACGGGAGGCAGCAGUGGGGAAUAUUGCACAAUGGGCGCAAGCCUGAUGCAGCCAUGCCGCGUGUAUGAAGAAGGCCUUCGGGUUGUAAAGUA